rnacentral:tRNA from 1 species
AAGGCUUUAAGUUAAACUAAACUAAUAGCCUUCAAAGCUAUAAAUAUUGGAAUAAAAAUCUUUUAAGCUUUA